UCAGGCCUAACACAUGCAAGUCGAACGAGAAAGGUUCUUCGGAACUGAGUAAAGUGGCGCACGGGUGAGUAACGCGUAGGCAACCUGCCCCUAGAAUUGGAAUAACUACGGGAAACCGUAGCUAAUACCGAAUAAUAUCUUUCGGCCGCAUGGCCGAUGGAUCAAAACUCCGGUGUCUAGGGAUGGGCCUGCGUAGGAUUAGGUAGUUGGUGAGGUAACGGCUCACCAAGCCGACGAUCCUUAGCUGGUCUGAGAGGAUGAUCAGCCACACUGGCACUGAGACACGGGCCAGACUCCUACGGGAGGCAGCAGUGAGGAAUAUUGCGCAAUGGGGGAAACCCUGACGCAGCCACGCCGCGUGGUGGAUGACACCCCUAUGGGGCGUAAACACCUUUUAUGAGAGAAGAAGUCCCUAUUCGAUAGGGUUUGACGGUACCUCAUGAAUAAGUACCGGCUAACUCCGUGCCAGCAGCCGCGGUAAUACGGAGGGUGCAAGCGUUGUCCGGAAUCACUGGGUGUAAAGGGUGUGUAGGCGGAGCUGUAAGUCAGAGGUGAAAUCCUGCAGCUUAACUGUAGAACUGUCUUUGAUACUGCAGCCCUUGAAUAUCGGAGAGGUUACUAGAAUUCGUGGUGUAGCGGUGAAAUGCGUAGAUAUCACGAGGAAUACCAGAGGCGUAGGCGGGUAACUGGACGAUUAUUG
rnacentral:rRNA from 1 species